rnacentral:misc_RNA from 1 species
GAUGAGAACGCAGCGAAAUGCGAUAAGUAAUGUGAAUUGCAGAAUUCAGUGAAUCAUCGAAUCUUUGAACGCACCUUGCGCCCUUUGGCUAUUCCGAAGGGCAUGCCUGUUUGAGUAUCAUGAACACCUCAACUCUCAUGGUUUGCCAUGAUGAGCUUGGACUCUGGGGGUCUUGCUGGCCUAUGGUCAGCUCCUCUCAAAUAAAUCAGCUUGCCAGUGUUUGGUGGCAUCACAGGUGUGAUAACUAUCUACGCUUGUGGUUUUCCAUCAGGUAACCUUCAGUGAUGGAGGUUCGCUGGAGCUCAUAAAUGUCCCUCCUCAGCGAGGACAGCUUUUUGAACAUUUGAUCUCAAAUCAGGUAGGACUACCCGCUGAACUUAAGCAUAUCAAUAAGCGGAGGA